GGGCGUGUAGCUCAGGCGGUAGAGCACUUGACUUUUAAUCAAGUUGUCCGGGGUUCGAAUCCCCGCACGCUCA
rnacentral:tRNA from 10 species